rnacentral:lncRNA from 1 species
AUGGCGAGAGCGUCAUGCCUGGUACUGGUGUUAUCAGCGGUCAGCAGCUUCGUCGUUUCUCAGACAACGAUCAGUGGACUGCAGACAUCCAGUUCUCCAAGCUCUUCAGCAAGCAAAACAAACAGUGAGACUUUCACCACUUCAACAGCUCUGACAGGCAAUCAUUCAAUCCCAGCAAAAGAAACAACACUGCACGGCGAACACUCAAAUGACACCAGUCCAACUGCAGGAACUACAAGGGAUCCCAUUAGUCCUUCAGAGCCAAAUACAUCCAUUUCUAGCACCAUCCAUGCGAACACGAUAGGUCCUACUGGCAACACCACCAGUGGAUCUUCCACUUUUACUACAUCUCCUUUCCCAACUUGGUUCACAACCCUUGCAUCUUCUGUCACAAGUUCCACAAAUGAUACAAAUGCAAGUGAGAACAUCACUCCAAAUGCAGAGGUGGUCGGUGGCGUGUCAGGGAACCCAGGCCUGGUUGCAGUCCUCUGUAUCUUCUUUAUCGUCUUAGCUCUGGUGCUGACAAUUGCAGUAGCAAAGGCCAUAAGUUCCAGAAAGAACAAGUUUGAAAGGCUUCAUGAUUUGCAGAUGAACAAAAUGAAUGAAGGAUCUCCAUUUGCACAUUACCCUCCAAAAUAAUUUAAAUGUUUCUUUCAAUUCUGAAAAUGAAGCAAAAAAUGUAUUCAAUGGAUUUAAAAAUGGAAUCACACUUCAGAGCUCUCCUUUAGUCAUAAACCCUGAUUUGUUACACUUGCUUCCUUGUAUGCUUUUUAAUGAUUGGCUGUUCCAGUGUAUUCUAAUCGCUUUUACUAUUAGCCCCAAAAGUUGGAUAUUUAAUUCUGUAAAAAACACAAUGAUUAAACACACACUAAGAUAUAGAAGAAAUAAAGUUAAUUUCAUUUAUCA